ACAAGAACAAUAACAAGCAAUGCACAAGACAAUAAAAAUAAGACGAAUCGACUCACGCAUAAUAAAAACAACACGGCGGAGGCGCAGCUAACUGAUUCUUUUGGAGAGGCGUUGUAUUUGGGGCUUGCCCCACAACCAGGCCGAGAACAACAAAAACUGCCCUAAGGCAGAGCCUGAACUGGUUGGAUCGAAAGGUCAUUGCAACUCAGCGAUCAAAGCAAUCCGUUUGCUCUUGGCUCCCGAUUGGGAGGGUCAUCCUGGGUAAACCAGAUGACAAGGGCGUUUAACAAAAACAAGAAGCCCGAAACCAAUAAUAAAAAUAGAGCACGCAACUAUUCUGGGGGAGCUUCGGCUCCCCUUGUGGUUUCCGGAAUUCGUGUUUUCACUCCCCCGCCCCC
rfam:Pseudomonas fluorescens Pf-5, complete genome.